GGUGGUGUGGUGUAAUGGUAGCACGUGACGUUGUGGCUACUGCCGCACUGAACCGUUUCAAUCUGGGUUCGAUUCCCAGCACCGCCA
rnacentral:tRNA from 1 species